rnacentral:lncRNA from 1 species
CUUGAUUUACCAAAUCUGUUGGACUCUUUAAUUGCUAAUAUCAUGGGGUAUACCAACUUUGAUAUGCGUUUCCUAUUCUAUCUCUUGUUCAUAACCGUUGGUCAAUAUUGUAGCUAAUAUUAUGGGAUUUAAAUCAUCUGAUUUCUUGCUAUGGGAUUUAAAUCAUCUGAUUUAUUGCUAACAAUUAUUUUAUAGCCGUUGGGUAUCUCUUUAUAUAUAGUGUUAUUUUAUAGCUUUCAUUGUUUAUUUCCAGCUAUUCAUUGUACUAUCUAUAAUUCUUUGUGGCUGAAAAAUAAGAAGUAUAUUGUAAUUUCUUAUAUCAUAUUCAAAGUUCAAAGCUUGUUUGGCUUGAUCGAUCCAGUAGUGGAUAGGGUCUGUUCAAAGAGAGGUUUCAAGGUUGCAGAGGUGCAAAGGUCUCAAUGGUCAGAAAGGUUGCAGAGGUGCAAAGGGGGCAGAGGUGUCCAUCUGUGGAAAACUUAUUUGUAACAGGGAGUUCUUUUUAUUGUAUUUAAUUGAAUAUUAAGUUUAAUAAAAAGAGUCUUCAAUCCUAGUUGGGAUUGGACGUGGAUUAGGCCACUAGAUUAGAGGAUAGGGGCUGAACCACGUAAAAAUCUUAGUGUGAUUUUUACUUCUGUUUAUCUCUUUAACUGUCAUUCACGCUCUGCACUUUUUUGUUAUUCACGCCACUAUCCAGACACUCAAGCAGACAAGUCUAGCUGUUUGAUAAUAAGAAACGAAGAACAUAAGCUAAAGCAGACACUAAAGCAGACAGGCGUAGCUGUCUGAAUUAAACCUGUUGCAGAAAAUUUCAAAAUGUUUUCACCGUUUAUCGCUUUUAGCUUAAACACCUAUUCACCCCCUAUCUAGGUGUGCACAUACAUAGAAUUACAUUUGGUAUCAAAGCAAGGCUCUACUAAUAUUGAUCAUUGCAGGUUGUAGGGGAAGAUCCUAUGGCACACCUAAGCUUUCAAGAAGGUCAGUCCAUAAGAAGGCCACCGCUGUUGUUUGGAAGUGAAAACUUCAACUUUUGGAAGUUCAGAAUGAAAAUUUUUCUUAAAAGAGACCCAUGGGAAUGGUGGGUUGUUGAAAAUGGACCUGUCAUUCCUAGACAUGAUAAUGGCAAACCAAAGGCUCUCAUGAAGAUGGAUACAAACGAAAGAUAUAUGUUUUCUUAUAAUUCAAGAGCUAUGAACACCUUGCUAAGCGGAAUGGUCCAAGCUGAAAUUGAUAAAGUAUCAUAGUGCAACACAGCAAAAGAAAUGUGGGAUACAAUCAUCAUGAGCCACGAGGGAACUACUAAAGUGAAGCAGGUCAAGAUGAGCAUGUUAAUGCACGAAUACGAACUAUUUAAAUUAGAGAAAAAUGAAUCAAUUAGGGAUGCCCAAGCAAGAUUCCUUACUCUAAUGAAUUCUCUAAGCAUGCUCGGACGAAAGAUUGAUCAAAAGGAAAUCAACCGAAAGCUUCUUAGAGUCAUGCCAAAGCGAUUCGCACCAAAGGUUACUACACUUCAAGACUCAGUCACAAUCAGCACAAUGGAAACUCUUACCUUAUUUGGAGAACUUGAAGAGUUUGAAAACCAACUAAAAUUGUAUGAUGAAAAAGAUGAGGCACCUAAGAAGAAGACCUUGGCUUUACAAGCUGAAAGCUACAUAGAAGACAAUGAUGAUGAUUCGGAUGAAGAAAUAGCUUCAAUGACUGGAAAUUUGAGGGAGCUGAUCCGAAAGAAGAAUAUAUCAAAAUUACCAACAAAAGCGUUCAACAACAAGAAAGAUUUCAAGCAAAAGCCUCAAGAGGAAACCUGUUUCGAAUGUGGAAGGCCUGGACACUUCAAAAGAGAUUGCUUCCAACUAAAAAAAAAGAACAAAGCAAAUGGGAAGGCUCUAAUGACAUGGAGUGAUGAUGAAUCCGAUCAUGAAGAUCAAGAAGAAGAAAAUGCUCAAUUGUGCUUCACUGGAAUACACAAUGAGAAAACAUCCAAGGUAAGUCCUAAACUUGGAGAAAUAUUUGUGCCUAAUUAUCUUGAUUUACAAAAUGAAAAUCAAAGGCUUAAAAAGAAAUCUAUUUAUUUUAAGAACUACGUAAAUGAGCUAAUGAAUGAAGUUGAGUCACUUAUUGAAGAGAGAAAAGAAAAUGAAUAUCUUAAAAAGGAAAAUCAAAUUUUAAAAGAAAAUUUGAAAAUGAGAGAUGCAUGCAUAGAUGAUUUUAAUGAUGGAAAAAUGAUGAAUGUUCAACAUGAUGAUAUUGUAAUAAAUGCAGAAAUAGCAUCUUUAAAAAAUGAUCUUGCUAAAUUUGUGCAAGGAGAAGAGAACCUAAAUGUUAUGUUAGGGGCACAAAGGUCUAGUCUUGAUAAACAAGGAAUUGGGUAUAAUCCUAUUAAAAAUAUGGAAAAUAAGACUAAUAAUAAUAUUAGAAUGAUUAAUAGUAAACCAAGGAUUAAGCCACUUUAUUGUUCACCAUUUGUUACUUGUAAAAAAUGUGGUUUUAAAGGUCAUUUUGAUUCUAAUUGCAAUAAAAUUAGAAUAAAACAAAUUUGGGUAAAGAAAAGUGAUUUAUAUGCUACUAACCCAAAAGGACCCAAGAAAAUUUGGGUACCAAAAAGAUAGAGACUAUUUGUUUGUAGGUGUCUCAAGAUCAAAAUAGGAGAUGUAUGAUUCUUUACUUUGAGAUAGUAAGUUACUUAUAAAUUAUUUGGCGGAAUCUGUAAGUACCUCAUGUUGUUUUUUAAAUAGAGUUUUAAUUAGAUAUAUUAUUAUAAAAACUAUAUGGAUUUCGUAUUACAAGGGUUCAUAACAUCAUUUAUUAUGUUAAAUGCUCCAUAUUUAAUAUACAUGACAAUCUUAACAAAAUGUUGAUAUAUAGGUAACACAUUACAAAGGUAUGAUUAUAUUGUUUACUUACUAUAUGUGAUUUUGUUAUAACCUUGUUCUAUUGUCAUUCUUUAUGAUUAUUUUUUUAAUUUGGCAAAUGGGGUGAGAUAACUUACUUCAACUAAAUUGAUAUGAAUUAUUUUUUGUAGAUGACAAAGGGGGAGAGAUAUUUGGGUAUAUUUAAAUUGGUUUGAAUUUGUAUUCAUGUUGAUAUUGAGAUACUAUAUUAUGUUGGAAUAUGCAAUGAUGGUUAUUUGGAUAAAGUAAUUUUCUUUUGCUCCUUAAUAUGCAUAAAUUUAGGAGGAGCCAUAUACUUAGGGGGAGCAUGUUGGUGCAUACAUUGUCAUCAUCAAAAAGGGGGAGAAUGUUGGUUUUUGAAUUUAUGAUGUUUUGAAUGAUGACUAAUUUAAGUAUAUUAGACAUGUGCAUAGUUCAUGGUUUGUUAUAAUAUUAUUAUUAAUAUGCAUGUGUUAUGCUUAUUACAUGAACACUUGUUGAUUUCCUUCCGUUGGUAAGUUGGAAUGUUUUAAAAUUAAGGAAGAUUUGAUUUGGAGUUUAUUAAGGAAGAUUUGAUUUGGAGUUUAUUAAGGAUGAUUUGAAUUUGAGUUUAUUAAGGAAUAUUGGUAUUUAUAAUUUUUAAUGCUAUCAAAUAUUAUUAGAUGGGUUUAUAUAUGUUAUUCCAACUGGCUCAAAUUUCCUUCAUCUUAUACAGAGUAUUUCGUGGGUACUAUAAUUUAUUUAAGGAUAUACUCUUGCUUAGUGGGACCCAUAAGUACUGUUAGUGGUACUUUGUAUUCUAAUUGAGAAAGGAGUUUUACUGAAGUUGUUUAGAGUUAGUGGGUCUCAUCUUAUCUUAUCUUCUUGUUCCUUUAUUUAAGGUGUUUUGGUUUGACUUGAAAAUAUAUCCUUGAUUUAACAAAUCUGUUGGACUCUUUAAUUGCUAAUAUCAUGGGGUAUACCAACUUUGAUAUGCGUUUCAUAUUCUAUCUCUUGUUCAUAACCGUUGGUCAAUAUUGUAGCUAAUAUUAUGGGAUUUAAAUCAUCUGAUUUCUUGCUAUGGGAUUUAAAGCAUCUGAUUUAUUGCUAAAAAUUAUUUUAUAGCCGUUAGGUCUCUCUUUAUAUAUAGUCUUAUUUUCACGGCUAAGCA